CCUCAUAGCAGUGUUCUGGAAUCCUUUGUGAGGGACAAACAUUCAGACCUCAGCAGGAGUGUUCUGGAAUCCUGUGUGAGGGA
rfam:Homo sapiens chromosome 14 unlocalized genomic contig, GRCh38 reference primary assembly.